UCAUUUAAAUUUAAAGCCAAAAUAUAUCAACCAUUCAAAAUACAUCCCAAUAAUAUCAUUCGUUUAUAGUUUCAAAUUACUACAUCCAUAAAAUAUACCAAACUAUCCAUAAAAUUAAGUUGUGGAGCACUACCUAAGCUGUGGUGCACUACCUAAGUUGUCGAUCUUGGUCAAGAGCUCAGCAAACUUGACAGAAAUGUGAGAGGUGU
rnacentral:lncRNA from 1 species